rnacentral:rRNA from 1 species
GACGAACGCUGGCGGCGUGCCUAACACAUGCAAGUCGAGCGAUGAAGUUCUUCGGAACGGAUUAGCGGCGGACGGGUGAGUAACACGUGGGUAACCUGCCUUGUAGAGGGGGAUAGCCUUCCGAAAGGAAGAUUAAUACCGCAUAACAUCUUUUUAUCGCAUGGUAGAAAGAUCAAAGGAGCAAUCCGCUACAAGAUGGACCCGCGGCGCAUUAGCUAGUUGGUGAGGUAACGGCUCACCAAGGCGACGAUGCGUAGCCGACCUGAGAGGGUGAUCGGCCACAUUGGAACUGAGACACGGUCCAGACUCCUACGGGAGGCAGCAGUGGGGAAUAUUGCGCAAUGGGGGAAACCCUGACGCAGCAACGCCGCGUGAAUGAAGAAGGCCUUAGGGUUGUAAAGUUCUGUUUACGGGGACGAUAAUGACGGUACCCGUGGAGGAAGCCACGGCUAACUACGUG